rnacentral:rRNA from 1 species
UACGGGGGGAGCAAGCGUUGUUCGGAUUUACUGGGCGUAAAGGGCGCGUAGGCGGCCAGCACAAGUCAGUUGUGAAAUCUCCGAGCUUAACUCGGAAAGGUCAACUGAUACUGUGCGGCUAGAGUGCGGAAGGGGCAACUGGAAUUCUCGGUGUAGCGGUGAAAUGCGUAGAUAUCGAGAGGAACACCUGCGGCGAAGGCGGGUUGCUGGGCUGACACUGACGCUGAGGCGCGAAAGCCAGGGGAGCGAACAGG